UCCAAUCAGCUGGAGGCCUGCAUAGAACAAAAACACAGGUCUUCCUGAGCAAGAGGGGCUUCUCCAGCAUAUGGCCUUUGGACUUCAUCUAUACCAUCCACACUUCUGGGUCUCCAGCCUGCUGGCCCACACUACAGAUUUUGGACUUGCCAGCUUCCUUAAUCAUGUGGGGAGUAAAUGGACAAGUCUGGAUGUGUGUGCUCAAGGCUCAACAAAUAUUCCUUUGAUCAGUUCAAAGAAGAGUGGCCGAGAGACUCUGGUUGACUCUACCUGCAGAGGUGAGAGAAGGCUGGCUGCACAGAGGACAGGAUGCCUGAGAAGGGUCUCAGAAGAGGCACUUCCUUCUUUUUUUUUUAAAAGGGAUCUACAGUCAAACAAAUUGGAUGAUAUGGAGAUGAACACCAGGACUAUUUUAGAAACUGCAUGUUGAAGACCACUGAGAUAUAAAACUUAGAAAAAAAAAGGUUCUGAAUCAAUGCCUUGUGAAGACAAUUGCGCAGGGCACCACCAGGCUGAAAUCCAGGUGUUCACCGGGCUUUUUCUUCACCUGGAGGCUCAGCUGGAGAAGAAUCUGCUUCCAAGCUCCAUCAGACUGUUAGAAAAUUAACUUCCUGUGGCUGUAGGAUUCAUGGCACCUUGCUUCUUCAAAGCCAGCAAUGGAAAGAGUCUUCUGCUCCAAGAAUGACAUGUAGUCACUCAGAAAGGGAUCAUAUGACUAGAGGAGAACAAUCCAAUAAUGAGAACAUCCUUGAGGAUCACAGAGUCCAGAGUCCCCAGAGAGAGGGAGAGCAAUCAUGUCUUCUAGAUGGCGAGUUACUUACACAUAUGUCUAGAGAAAUGGUGAGAGUGGGCAUCCUUGUCUUGUUCCAGUUCUCAGAGGGAAUGCUUUCAACUUUUCCCCGUUCAGUAUUAUGUCGGCUGCGGGUUUGUCAUAGACGGCUUUCAUUACAUUGAGUAGCCUGAAAAACGAGAGAGACCAGAAUAUAGGUGUGUGCCCAUGGUAUGUCAUCUGAAAGGACUGGGUAAGCACGUGGGACGGAUGCUGAGCUGGGAAUUCAUAGAGGGUGUCCAGACUCCAGAGCCAAGAAGUGAGCUGGGCUCCCACCCCAUUCUGAAGUUGCCAAAGAGUGAACUUGACCUGUAUUCUGCUGUAUUACAACGUCCCCCCAUGGAAUCUCUCAUACAUCAUAGAGCUUCCCUCCACCCUUCAGCCUUUUUAGUGCCUCCAACUAGAACAUCUGCAGCAGGGAAGAGGCCAGGAUGGGGUUCUUCACCAGUUCAUUAGAGUUUUCCUCAUCUCCUCCUCACUCAUUCACUGUGUGGCCUCUGAUACUCCAGGGAUAGAGCAGAAAGAAAGGAGAGAUUCACUUUUCUCUGUGAAACGACUUCAUAUUGCUGAGUCAUUAAUCAGGUGAUCAGGAAAUGUGGUUUUUGGCAGAUACUUGGGGUCAUGCUGCUUGAUAUUCUAGAGGAGUAGAACCCUCUCCUCUUCCAGAGGACAUCUCAGUACAUUUUCUGGGACAGUCUAAUGAUGCACCAAAGAGAAGCUACAAAGCCAUUGAAUGAUUCCUAUUAUGUGCACCUAGCCUGCAUGAAGCUCCUUUUCUCGAGAAGUUGGAGUGAGUGGAGUCAUACAACUUAACUUUGAUCUAUCUCAAAGGCAUCGCCAGCUCCCUGACAGCCAGGCUCAGCAGAGCACGCAGGCAUGGCCAGGCAUCUAGUGGUUCUGACAGUCACAGAAGCUCUGUUGUGCUAAUGGGCUUCUCUUAAUGCUGAGAGAUCAGCUCUGCAAUUUGCUCAACAGCCCUGGGCCAGCUUUGCAGAGGCCUUAUUGCUCCCAUUCAGGCCAUGUGGUCUGUGAGUUGGAGCAAGAGUAUAUUGUGAGUACUUCUGUGUGAAUAACCCUGCUGGAGCUCCCCGCACUCCAGUUAUUGACUGAGGCAAGUCCCCCAGCCUGGAUAAUUGCCUAUAGGAAGCAUCAACGCUGAUCACUGGAACUGGCCAAGAGGCAAAUGUGACCUCCGAGAGUGACCAUGUUGGCCUGGGUGCCUAUCUGAAAAAAAUUCAAUGAUGUCUUCAUUUGCACCGCACCGUUUUCCUGUAUCAGCGUGUGGAACUGCUUUCAUGGCUCCUGUUUUCUCAUCUAUGACCCCAUCAAUAAGCAUCACUCUGAGAGCAGUACUAAUUUUCUCACAUACAUUCUCUGAAGAACGUUCUUUAUUCUCACCUCCGCAUUUCCUGGAAGAAUGUGUUGUCAUGACAGCAGGGAGGCAAGAGUGUAGGCUUUGGAGCCAGAUAGAAAUGGGUGUGGAGCCCAGUUCUACCAUUUGAAAGUUUUGUGAUGUAGAGAGAGUCACUUAAUCUAACUGUGCCUCAGUUUUCCCAUCUGUAUAAUGGGGUCAAUAUAGUCCUCCUAAAUAAUGGGGUGUCGUUAGGAUUAGCUGAGUGAAUGCAACAAUGCCUAGCACAAACAAGCCCUCUGCAAAUAUGAGGUAGGACCUCCUCCAGAGCUGGCCUUUACAUGCAGGCUUGGGUUUGCUGAAGGUCUUGUUUUAAAAUGCAGUUUUUUUGUUUUUGUUAUUUAAAUUUCCAGGUAUGCUGUCAAUAGAUUAGAUGAUGUCAUUGUAAAGAUAGUUUAUUAUAUUCACAGUUCCCAAGAGAAGAUGGGGGUCACAUAGGGUCACGCAAGAUGUGGGUCAGAAGGCAGAAGGGCAAGAAAAAUGGGGAAGAGCCUUGAUUGGUGUUUCUGUGGGAAGGAACAAGUGAGGCGGGUAUAUAGAUUUAGGAUUGGCUAGUUUGAAUAACUUCCACAGCCUCUGGGGUAUAGGGCCUGUCUCUAGUUAUCUGGUACCUGGUUCUUGGUGAUUACAGUACAGGAAUAGUGGCCCAGAGUGUAAGAGCCUGUAGAGGAGGUGGUUGGGGUUUGGGUUCCGGGUGGGUUCAUUUGCAUAUAUGAAGGAGGUGCUCUCAAGUCAGUCAUUUAUGUCACCAAGAAUUAACUAGGUCUGAAAAGAGCAGUGUCUCCAGGGACAGCAAGACCCCAGAUGCCAGAGCAUAAAAAAUACAGAAAAUAAAAAUGCAUGAUUAAUACAGGUCUUUUCUUAGUGUGUCCAGACAGAAAAGGGAAAACCAAGGAAACCAACUGUUAUUGAGUACCUACCCGACAGCACCUAAGAACGUUAACACAUGUACUUCACCUCUGGCAGCCUGAAGUUCUGCAUUCCUCAGUUUGGGAUAGCACCUUGAGUUCCAGGCUUUCCACUUCUCAUAUCUGUGAAGCGUUAUCCCAAGUCCAUGCUUUGAUUCUCAUUAUAAUGAUAAUAGAGCUAGUAUUUCACAAUUAAGUCUUGAGUAGACUACUCCUUUCAAAUGUCUCUUCAUGACAGGAAACUAUUCUUCUGUUUCUGGUCUCCUACCUUGUCUUCUUAAAUUUAUUUUUGCCCCUCUCCUAUCUGUUUUUGCACUACAUUGAGAAUGAACUUUUAAAAAUGCAAACUUAAUCAUGUAUUUCCCUACUUAAAAUAAUUUUCCAUUGCUCUAAGAAAAAGGUCACCAUCCUUAGCCUGGUCUACAAAGCAAGCAGGACCGUCCCCUGCUUUCUUCACCACCACCAGCUGAUGUCACUGUUCUUGUCAUUUUCUGCCCUGUAACCAUAUUGGUUUCCUUUUUCUUUCCAAGCAUCAUGUUCCUUUCCACCUAAGGAAUUUUGCAUGUAUUUCCAUCACUUGGAGAUAUAUUUUCACCACCCAGCCCUGAAUAUUCACUUGAAAAAUUUUCAUACAUCUUUCAAAACUCAGAAAUUUCUUGAAGAAAACAUUUGUGAUCACCCCAGUACAGGUCAGGACCCUAAAAUCUAUUGUGAUGCACCCAAUAUUUCUGUUUUAUUAUAGUUAAAAUUAAAAAGUUAAAUUCAAACACUAAAUUGAGAGUUUUAAAAAUAUCUUUCUGUUGACUUCUAACAUAUAUAAAAUUAGGGUCUAUACCUCUCUUGUUUAAUUUACAAUCUCUAGUACAUAAUUGCUGACAUAAUUUGGAAAAUAUCUUGGACAUUAAUCCCAAAUUCUAUUUAAAAUUUGUAUAGACACUAUUGUUAACAUUAAUUUCCUCUUCUUUUCUUAUCCCAUAACAAUGUUUUUGUACACAUCCUGGGGACCUGAAGAUUAUUUAUUUGUAUAAUAGUAUAUUAAAAAUUUGUACUACUUCGGAUUGUAAGAGUUUAACAAAAUCAUGCAUGUGAAAACAUGAUGUAAAUGAUAAUGUGUUAUACAAAUGUAAUGGGUAUUAUUACAAGAAGUAAAUGAUCCUGUUUGAAAUUUAGUCUUAAUUCAAGUCAUCAACUCCAUGAUUUUCAUAAAUUGUUAAUUUCAGUGCGAUUUAUUUCAACAUAAUUGACAGCUGAUACAUGAGCACUGGACUAUGAGCUUUGAACUUAUAUUUUAAACAUCUGCUUAUAGAGAAAGGAUAUGACAUUCACAUUCUUCUCUCACCUUCUAAAUGAAACGAAUUGACUAGAAGAAUGUCCGAUCAACAGUAGUCCACAUAUGCAGCAUUCUUCAUAUAUAGAUCUGGUACUAAGUGCCAGUAAAAGCUAGUAUAUGAGGUUGGUGCAAAAUUAAUUGUGGUUUUUGCCAUUGUAGAACACCACACACAGAAGAACAAUCUGAAUAAAAAUAUUAAUAAGAAGACUAAGGUCUAACUAUUCAAAAGACCACAUGCAUUGGCCAAUACAGAGCAGUGAGAAAAGAAUGUAUUAGUCACCUUAGGCUAUGUUAUUCUUCAGUAACAAAUGAAUCAUAAUCUUUAUAGCAUUCCACAACAAAGUUCAUUUCUCAUUCUUGUUCAUGGGCAUUGUGAGUUGUCUGAGUGUACUCCAUGUAUGCUGCAUUCUGGAACCUAUGAUGAAAGAUAGCUCCUACUUAGGUUUUGCAUCUUUGUGGCAGAAGGGAAAAGAGAAAUGAUGGAACCACAUGAGAAAUAUGUGUUUUGUCUCGGCCAGUUUUACAUGAGUGAAUGUGACAUGUGCCACUUUUAGGCAGAGAUUUAAAGAACCAUGAUUUGGGAUGGAUACAGCCUUCCUGCAGAAACCACAAAUAGUUUGAAAGAAAUCAAUCACAAACAGCAAAUGAGAAAGUAGAUUUCAGUUGACACAUGAUUGAAUUUGGAAAAGGUAGGCUGGAGAGAAUAUAGGAAAUUAUUUUGGACAUUUUGAGAAUUUUUGUUGGUUUUUGUUUUGUUUUGUUUUCGUAACUAACUAAGCAUAAAGCCAAGUGGUGCAUAAUGAAAUAAACAACUCUUAAACGCCAAAAAUUUGAUGGAAGCCUCUUAGAGAACACAUUUGCCAUCACAGGACAUUUGUCUUCAGGCCGAUGAUGUACCUUCCACUGGCACUGGUCUUUGCUUUACCUCUUUUCAGUCAUCUCUCAAACUCACUCUAGGACUCCUUCCCGCCUACUGUAGAAUCCUUUUGUGAUGUCUCCAGUCUGGGGUAUAGCCCCUGGUUCAUUGCUCCUGUAACAGCUGCGUGGUCCUUCUCCAAAGCAUAUGUGUCAGACAACUACUGAAUAUAUACAUAUAUUUUUUUUCUUUCUGUCAUUAGCUUGUGUAUUCUCAACAGGAGUGAUGUCAUCUAGGGGUGAAAAUUAGUU